UUAAAACAGUUAUAGUUUACUUGGUGAUCAAUGGUUAUACGGUUAUAACUGUGGUAAUUCUAGAGCUAAUACGUGCAUUCANACCUGACUUCUCGGAAAGGUCGUAUUUAUUAGAUACAGAACCAAUUCCCCUCGGGGAUUUUGGAUGAUUCAUGAUAAACGAACGGAGCGUAUGGCAUGAGCCGACGCUGUACCAUUCAAGUUUCUGACCUAUCAGCUUCCGACGGUAGGGUAUUGGCCUACCGUGGCAUUGACGGGUAACGGAGAAUUAGGGUUCGAUUCCGGAGAGGGAGCCC
rnacentral:rRNA from 1 species